GACGAACGCUGGCGGCGUGCUUAACACAUGCAAGUCGAACGGGGAAUUUUGCUUCGGUAGAAUUCCUAGUGGCGAACGGGUGAGUAACGCGUAGGCAACCUGCCCUUCAGACGGGGACAACAUUCCGAAAGGGAUGCUAAUACCGGAUAAUAAAGCAGAUCGCAUGAUCAGCUUUUGAAAGGCGGCGUAAGCUGUCGCUAAGGGAUGGCCCCGCGGUGCAUUAGCUAGUUGGUAAGGUAACGGCUUACCAAGGCGACGAUGCAUAGCCGAGUUGAGAGACUGAUCGGCCACAUUGGGACUGAGACACGGCCCAG
rnacentral:rRNA from 1 species